rnacentral:rRNA from 1 species
CAUACGACUCUCGGCAACGGAUAUCUCGGCUCUCGCAUCGAUGAAGAACGUAGCGAAAUGCGAUACCUGGUGUGAAUUGCAGAAUCCCGCGAACCAUCGAGUCUUUGAACGCAAGUUGCGCCCGAGGCCAUCCGGCCGAGGGCACGCCUGCCUGGGCGUCACGC